GAUGAAGAACGUAGCGAAAUGCGAUACCUGGUGUGAAUUGCAGAAUCCCGCGAACCAUCGAGUCUUUGAACGCAAGUUGCGCCCGAGGCCACCCGGCCGAGGGCACGCCUGCCUGGGCGUCACGCCAAAACACGCUCCCACCCCCCCUCACCGGGGGAGCGGGACGCGGCGUCUGGCCCCCCGUGCCGCGAGGCGCGGUGGGCCGAAGAUCGGGUUGCCGGCGUACCGUGCCGGGCACAGCGCGUGGUGGAUCUCUACUCGGCGCAGUGCACCCGGCGCGUAGCCGGCGCAGCGGCCCCUAAGGACCCAACGAACGGAGCGCGAGCCGCUCCGACCGCGACCCCAGGUCAGGCGGGACUACCCGCUGAGUUUAAGCAUAUCAAUAAGCGGAGGA
rnacentral:misc_RNA from 1 species